rnacentral:rRNA from 1 species
GACGAACGCUGGCGGCGUGCCUAAUACAUGCAAGUCGAACGGUCUUUUCUAUGGAAGCUUGCUUCCACUGAGAAGAUAGUGGCGAACGGGUGAGUAACACGUGGGUAACCUGCCCAUAAGAGGGGGAUAACAUCCGGAAACGGGUGCUAAUACCGCAUAGUUUUCUUGAUCGCAUGAUUGAGAAAGGAAAGACGGCCUUUGUGCUGUCGCUUAUGGAUGGACCCGCGGCGUAUUAGUUAGUUGGUGAGGUAACGGCUCACCAAGACGAUGAUACGUAGCCGACCUGAGAGGGUGAUCGGCCACAUUGGGACUGAGACACGGCCCAAACUCCUACGGGAGGCAGCAGUAGGGAAUCUUCCGCAAUGGACGAAAGUCUGACGGAGCAACGCCGCGUGAGUGAAGAAGGUUUUCGGAUCGUAAAACUCUGUUGUCAGAGAAGAACAAGUUGGAGAGUAACUGCUCCAGCCUUGACGGUAUCUGACCAGAAAGCCACGGCUAACUACGUGCCAGCAGCCGCGGUAAUACGUAGGUGGCAAGCGUUGUCCGGAUUUAUUGGGCGUAAAGCGAGCGCAGGCGGUUCCUUAAGUCUGAUGUGAAAGCCCACAGCUCAACCGUGGAAGGUCAUUGGAAACUGGGGAACUUGAGUGCAGAAGAGGAGAGUGGAAUUC